GUCAUCCUCUAGUGUAUCGUCUUCAUCGUCGAGUUCAUCCAAUUCAUCUAGUAAUGACUGGUUCACUCUUUUACGAGAUUGUCGCCUAUAUUUCUUGGGCUCUAGCCGCGGUUCUGCUUGCACAACUCCCUUGUCUCCUACUUUGCACCUAACAUCACUUUCUCGUUUAGUUCCAAUGGUCCUCAACUGAAACUCCUCCCUGAUCUUAAUUUCGUCAAGCAACUGAAGAUAAUAUGGGUAUCUUUCCCAAUCACCUUUUAUAAGGCAGCCCGGUUCACCAAGAUGCAAGCAAUUAUUGAAUGCACACUUUGCAGGUUCACUAUCUUUAAGCACUUUGCGGAUCUCCGGAAAAUGAUGUGCAAGAGAAUUCUUUGUCACUUUAAUCAAACUAGGCUGGUUAAAUCCUGGCGUAUCAGCAAGAUACCCCCCAUCAGGCAAUGGAAGCAAAGACACGUGCCUCGUCGUAUGCUUUCCUCUGCCACUUCUUACUGACACUUCCCCCACACGCUGCUCUUCAUACCACUUGCUCCCUAGAAUAGGAUCAAACCAGUUUUUCUCUUCGACUGCACCAAGAAUGUGUUUAUUGUCUCUUAAAGCAUUGAUCAGGCUGGAUUUUCCCACACCACUUGGACCAACAAUGACAGAUGUUUGUUCUCUCAUAAUAAACUGGAGUGUAUCAAGUCCACGCUUGGAAUCAACGCUGCAAAAGAUUGGUUCAUAGGCCCAACUACGAAGCCUAGAUUUCCAUGCUUUUAUUUCCUCUUGAGAAACAAGUUCUGAUUUAUUCAAGGCAAGAGUAAGAGGAAUUCCG
rnacentral:misc_RNA from 1 species